AUGCUUUGUUGUCAGUGUAUGUUUGGGGAUUUAAAUUUGAUGCUUGUUUUUGCUUCAGGGGUUUCCAUCUCCUUCCACCCCGCCUGCGGGGACGGGAGUAGGGGAGGCUUCGCCCGGCUCCUGGGCGCCGCUUGCUGCUGCAGGCAGCCACGCUGCUCGGCCCAGGAGCAUCUGUGUGACCGAACUUGGGAGGCAUCUCAACUUGAUGAAGACAUUUUCCCGCUAUCUGCUGUUAUCUGGGUGCCUGGAAGAAUUCCGGAGGAGCUCUCAUCCUGCCUCCAGGCAGGGCUUAUGGGAUUUGCACCAGUCCCAGUUGCCAUGGAGAAAGUGUUAGAUAGCUUUAAUACAUCUGUGCGAAUUUCUCCCUGGAGUUUUCCCAUGACAAGCUGGACUGGAGAUCCAUCAGUUUGCCCUGCCUUUAACCAGAAGAUAGUUGAAGGAACGUGAUGGAAUCAAAAAUCUGGAAGGCAGGGGAAGCAGAGCCGGUACGCUGCGCUCAGAGCGAGCCUCCUCGUGAGCAAUCCUUCUGUCAGUGCCUUCACUUUCCUCUUCCUUUCUGCUUUUCUUCUAACCCCCCAGUGGUACUUCUAGCUGCUUUGGUUUCUCUAAACAUUAUCUUUUCCGCAGUUGAUGGGCUGUUGAAAUAUGAAGUCCAUAAAUCACUGGAUAAUGUCACAUCCACUGCGGUGUCUGUCCUGUUCAGCCUCAGCGAUCGCCCUGCCCGGCACGGAGGGAGCGCAGGGCCCGGUGAGCAGUACCCCCGUGCCACGAAGUCUGGUUGCCUGCUGCACGGGACAUUGCCGUUAUCCCGAGAGGAACACCCGGGGUGGGUGUGCUGGAAAACCAGCGCUGGGCUCAGCUGCCUCCACGCGGGUCCCCAGGGGUUGCUGAGACUUGCUGGAAAGCUGAGUUGCUGAGGUUGCUGGAAAAUUGCUGCCCAGCAUUAAGAAGUUAAGAGUCAGACAUGGGGCUGGCGGUGCGGCGAUGCCCAGGCAGGCACCGGGACCCCCGGCUUCCCCACGUGGGAAAGCCUGGUGAGAGCAGCAGUGCUGAGCACAGCAUGAAACAGAAAGGCAAAGCCUGCUGCUUCCUGCCUUCCAGUUCUCUUCUCUCCCAGGGACCGUGGCGAGGCCAAGCCCGGCUCCUUGCUUUUCCCCUCCCUUGUUCUCCCCUGGUUUCUCUGCAGUCCCCUGCAAAUUCCCCCGCUCUGCGCCGGGGUGCGCGGGUGCUCAGCUGGAGGAUUGCUUGCCGUGGAGAGGAGAGGUGGCAUGGCAAAGCAUGUGCUUCUGCUGAUAUGCUGGGGUUAAAAAGUAAUUAAUUAGCUAGUUUAUGGUGUUUUCCCAUCUGAAAUUAAAAACAAAAAUUAUGCAGAACAUACAAGGUAAUUAGGAAGCAGCAAGCUACAACACACCUUUAAAUGAGAGCUCUAAAAAGCAUGAUGUUCGGCAGCAGAUUUUUAAUGUAACAGCUAUUAAAAGCUUACACCCUCGAUCGCGUUCCUGGGAACAUUCAUCACGCUUCGACCUUCCCUUACGGAUCCAGGUAGAGCCCUAGCAAAACCUGAAUUUUUAAUAUUCCUGGUGCUUAUCCAUGAUCAGAUUUCCCAUUUAAAAUCUAUUAGCCAAGAUGAGAAAAUUGGUUCAUAUUUUAUGUGCCUAGUUUAAUUUUUUUUUCUUUGCAUUUACAACUGGCCCCUAGUGUUUCAUCCACCCCCUAAUGAUUUAGCUGUGCAAGAUGUUCCACCAAUUUAUUAGAGUGGAGUGUAUGGAGCAGGUCAUGCAUAUUAAACAUGAAGUUUUUACUACAGUUGGUUCAAUAAUCCGAAAGAAAAACAUUAUUGUAUUUUUUUAAUUUUUUUUACUGUGUUACCAGGUGCCACUUGUGGAAGGGCAGCCCCUCCGCCUGGCACCCGGCACUGCUGCAGGAUGUGGGGCACGACGGGCAAGCAGCAGCCCAGCCCCAUGCGGGUGCGCCUCAGGACGGGGCCCGGUGCUGCGCUGUGCUUGCCGUGGUGAAACACGUGUGGGCUUCACAGCCUCCUCUCAGGAGAGGAGGCGACUAUUGAUCCGCGUGUCUCUCUUUUGUCAUUAAAUCAAAGUCGGAAAUCAAAGCUUUGUGCUGUUAUUCGUUUCAGCAAGGUCUGAAACACCAGCGGAAGAGGUCUGCGCGGUGCUUCGCUCCCCUCGGGUCCCGCCGCAGCAGAGCCCGUCUGCGCAGGGCUCGGAGGGCUCUCCUCCCGGUGCCUGGGGCUCUGCCCACCUCUCGUUCCCUCACGUCGCAGCGGGUGCUGCGGGUCCCGGGAUGCGGGAGGUAGGUGUUCAUCUGGGGAGCUGCUGGGCAGGACAGCCCGGGGAUGCUGGGGGCUGUCGGGGGCUGUAAGCCCACCCGGUGACGCUUCCCCUGUUCCUGCAGCCCUGUUUGUAGUCAGCAGCCGCUCGCAUUUCCAAUUACACUUUUGUCACCCAUAUCAGUCAUUGCCAGUGUGUAUUUGCUGGCCCGGAGAAAAUCUUUGGUCAGAUUGGGGUUGGAUUUCUGUUAGUUUUCUCAGGCUGUCCUGCGAGGACGUGGCCGAGACAUUAACCCCAGCACGGCACCGGGGGUUCGUUCCCACGCUGCGAACGCAAUCAGGGAUGAAAUAUUCCUGAGAUAAGGCUGGCUAAUUAGCAUACAGUCAAUUGCUGCUUCUCUGCUUUCAGAUGUCUUUCACUUGUCAAGCUCAGAAUCAUAACGUAAUUAGGAUUUUUUCGAUUAACACUUUUACACGGAGCCCUGCGCUUCCUCUCUGGGCGCUGGGCAGGCUCACCAUGCCGCACGUUUCCUUCCUACCGGGCCAAAAAUAGUGGUGGGGCUGUGAUUGGCAGCCUGUCCUGGUAAUUAGCCACAGGAUGUCUGCUGCCAGUGGAAGCCAACGGAGACAUCAGCAAAAGGGAAAUCAGAGGAAACAACCCGAAACUGUGAUCCAAGCAUCUGCUGCUGCUGCAGUGACCGAGCUGGGUCCCCAGCCGGCUGAGGAGGGGCCCUGCAUGAGACCUGUGAGUAUUAUGGGCAGCAACCGAAUCGUUUCAACUAUUUCAGAGGUCAUUCUGUUUCCGCGUGCUUCUUCAUGGUUUUCCCUGUUUUUCCUGCUUUCAGCCCAUGCGGCUAGGUGCAGCACCCUUGCAGACAGGGGGAUCGGCACGAGCAAUGGUGGCGACGCAGGCUGAGCCGAGCGGGCAGUGGGAGAGCAGUCGUCCUCCCCAAAACGCCAGCGCCAAGCCUGGCAGUGAGGAAACGAGAAGAUAUCUUCUAAAGCAGAGAUAAAUAAAAGCCACUGCAUAAAUAGUACCUAUGCA
rnacentral:lncRNA from 1 species